rnacentral:rRNA from 1 species
CAGCAGCCGCGGUAACACGUAGGGGGCGAGCGUUGUCCGAAGUUACUGGGCGUAAAGCGCGCGUAGGCGGCUUCUUAAGUCUGAGGUGAAAGGUUCAACGCUUAACGUGAACAGUGCCUUGGAUACUGGGGAGCUUGAGUAUGGGAGAGGGCAGUGGAAUGGCUGGUGUAGCGGUGAAAUGCGUAGAUAUCAGUCGGAACACCCAUGGCGAAGGCAGCUGCCUGGCCUAAUACUGACGCUGAGGUGCGAAAGCGUGGGGAGCGAACGGGAUUAGAUACCCGCGUAGUCCCUGUCUCUUAUU